rnacentral:rRNA from 1 species
AACGAACGCUGGCGGCAUGCCUAACACAUGCAAGUCGAACGAGACCUUCGGGUCUAGUGGCGCACGGGUGCGUAACGCGUGGGAACCUGCCGUUAGGUUCGGAAUAACUCAGAGAAAUUUGAGCUAAUACCGGAUGAUGUCUUCGGACCAAAGAUUUAUCGCCUUUAGAUGGGCCCGCGUUGGAUUAGCUAGUCGGUGGGGUAAGGGCCUACCAAGGCGACGAUCCAUAGCUGGUCUGAGAGGAUGAUCAGCCACACUGGAACUGAGACACGGCCCAGACUCCUACGGGAGGCAGCAGUGGGGAAUAUUGGACAAUGGGCGAAAGCCUGAUCCAGCAAUGCCGCGUGAGUGAUGAAGGCCUUAGGGUUGUAAAGCUCUUUUACCCGAGAUGAUAAUGACAGUAUCGGGAGAAUAAGCGCCGGCUAACUCCGUG